UAGGGAAUCUUCCACAAUGGGCGCAAGCCUGAUGGAGCAACACCGCGUGAGUGAAGAAGGGUUUCGGCUCGUAAAGCUCUGUUGUUAAAGAAGAACACGUAUGAGAGUAACUGUUCAUACGUUGACGGUAUUUAACCAGAAAGUCACGGCUAACUACGUGCCAGCAGCCGCGGUAAUACGUAGGUCCCGAGCGUUAUCCGGAUUUAUUGGGCGUAAAGCGAGCGCAGGCGGUUAGAUAAGUCUGAAGUUAAAGGCUGUGGCUUAACCAUAGUACGCUUUGGAAACUGUUUAACUUGAGUGCAGAAGGGGAGAGUGGAAUUCCAUGUGUAGCGGUGAAAUGCGUAGAUAUAUGGAGGAACACCGGUGGCGAAAGCGGCUCUCUGGUCUGUAACUGACGCUGAGGCUCGAAAGCGUGGGGAGCAAACAGGAUUAGAUACCCUGGUAGUCCACGCCGUAACGAUGAGUGCUAGGUGUUGGGUCCUUUCCGGGACUCAGUGCCGCAGCUAACGCAUUAAGCACUCCGCCUGGGGAGUACGACCGCAAGGUU
rnacentral:rRNA from 1 species